rnacentral:rRNA from 1 species
AGAAUCAACGCUGGCGGCGUGCCUAACACAUGCAAGUCGAACGAGAAAGUGGAGCAAUCCACGAGUACAGUGGCGCACGGGUGAGUAACACGUGACUAACCUACCCUUGAGUGGGGAAUAACCUAGGAGAAAUCUAGGCUAAUACCGCAUAACACCUACGGGUCAAAGGAGCAAUUCGCUUAAGGAGGGGGUCGCGGCAGAUUAGCUAGUUGGCGGGGUAAUGGCCCACCAAGGCAGUGAUCUGUA